rnacentral:rRNA from 1 species
AAUGCCUAGGAAUCUGCCUGGUAGUGGGGGAUAACGUUCGGAAACGGACGCUAAUACCGCAUACGUCCUACGGGAGAAAGCAGGGGACCUUCGGGCCUUGCGCUAUCAGAUGAGCCUAGGUCGGAUUAGCUAGUUGGUGAGGUAAUGGCUCACCAAGGCGACGAUCCGUAACUGGUCUGAGAGGAUGAUCAGUCACACUGGAACUGAGACACGGUCCAGACUCCUACGGGAGGCAGCAGUGGGGAAUAUUGGACAAUGGGCGAAAGCCUGAUCCAGCCAUGCCGCGUGUGUGAAGAAGGUCUUCGGAUAGUAAAGCACUUUAAGUUGGGAGGAAGGGUUGUAGAUUAAUACUCUGCAAUUUUGACGUUACCGACAGAAUAAGCACCGGCUAACUCUGUGCCAGCAGCCGCGGUAAUACAGAGGGUGCAAGCGUUAAUCGGAAUUACUGGGCGUAAAGCGCGCGUAGGUGGUUUGUUAAGUUGGAUGUGAAAUCCCCGGGCUCAACCUGGGAACUGCAUUCAAAACUGACUGACUAGAGUAUGGUAGAGGGUGGUGGAAUUUCCUGUGUAGCGGUGAAAUGCGUAGAUAUAGGAAGG